GAUGUGGAUCCAUUAGAUACCCUGGUAGUCCAUGCCGUAAACGAUGUCUACUAGCCGUUGGGGCCUUUGAGGCUUUAGUGGCGCAGCUAACGCGAUAAGUAGACCGCCUGGGGAGUACGGUCGCAAGACUAAAACUCAAAUGAAUUGACGGGGGCCCGCACAAGCGGUGGAGCAUGUGGUUUAAUUCGAUGCAACGCGAAGAACCUUACCUGGUCUUGACAUAGUAAGAACUUUCCAGAGAUGGAUUGGUGCCUUCGGGAACUUACAUACAGGUGCUGCAUGGCUGUCGUCAGCUCGUGUCGUGAGAUGUUGGGUUAAGUCCCGCAACGAGCGCAACCCUUUUCCUUAUUUGCCAGCGGGUUAAGCCGGGAACUUUAAGGAUACUGCCAGUGACAAACUGGAGGAAGGCGGGGACGACGUCAAGUCGUCAUGGCCCUUACGACCAGGGCUACACACGUGCUACAAUGGUCGGUACAAAGGGUUGCUACCUAGCGAUAGGAUGCUAAUCUCAAAAAGCCGAUCGUAGUCCGGAUUGGAGUCUGCAACUCGACUCCAUGAAGU
rnacentral:rRNA from 1 species